UCCGGAGGAGAUACAGGGGUUCUCUGCUCCGCCAAGUUUAACCUUAGUGGCCGGCCUUCAAGCUCCUAAUUGCAUUGCAUAGAAAAGUAGAGGUAUCAACAAGGAUAAGCACAUAAGGUCAUGGAAAAUUAAUUACAAUUUUUAAGUCAAACAUACCACUCCAUUCAUGGCAUUUAGUGCAGAUUCUACUUCUUCAGCUGAUGCAAAACUUAUAAACCCAAAACCUCGAGAUCUUCCGGAGUCCCGGUCAUAGAUUACCUUAGCACUCAGGAAUCCUGGCUGAUCUGCAAAAGCUUCUCUUAGGCCUUGAGACGUGAGGUUCCAGCUGAGGUUCCCGGCAUAUAUCUUAUGGGGGCUAUCUACAAAACCUUGAUAGCUGCUUCUUAUCUUUGGAGCCAUUACUUCCCUUUCACCUCCCCUAGGCACCUCAGGGAAGUUCACCUUAGCAGUUCGUCCUCCAAUUUGCUUUUGACAGAGCAGUUGAAAGCAGGAGAUACAGGUGCUCUCUGCUCCGCCAAGUUUAACCUUAGUGGCCGGCCUUCAAGCUCCUAAUUGCAUUGCAUAGAAAAGUAGAGGUAUCAACAAGGAUAAGCACAGAAGGUCAUGGAAAAUUAAUUACAAUUUUUAAGUCAAACAUACCACUCCAUUCAUGGCAUUUAGUGCAGAUUCUACUUCUUCAGCUGAUGCAAAACUUAUAAACCCAAAACCUCGAGAUCUUCCGGAGUCCCGGUCAUAGAUUACCUUAGCACUCAGGAAUCCUGGCUGAUCUGCAAAAGCUUCUCUUAGGCCUUGAGACGUGAGGUUCCAGCUGAGGUUCCCGGCAUAUAUCUUAUGGGGGCUAUCUACAAAACCUUGAUAGCUGCUUCUUAUCUUUGGAGCCAUUACUUCCCUUUCACCUCCCCUAGGCACCUCAGGGAAGUUCACCUUAGCAGUUCGUCCUCCAAUUUGCUUUUGACAGAGCAGUUGAAAGCAUAAUUGUAAGUCGCAAUCCGAAAACAUAUAAACUGAUUAUUUUUGGGUAGAAGCGAGGAAAAAAGAAAGCAAUUAUUUCAUUUUCGGGAUUGGCAUCUAUUAAACAAAGGUCAGAAACCACAUUAACACUCACAGAAAUGCCAGCCCUGACUUCAAUUCUGAAAGCCACUAUGUUAACUUACUCUGUUGCAAGGAGACUUCAACAAGGGUGACGUGUCUGUAUCAGUCACGUGUCAAAUAUCGACACUUCUCGGAUAUAUUCAUUUUUCUUUUAUCAGAUAUAUUAUACAUCCUUAACUCAAAGUUAUUAUUAAAUAAAAAAUACGUACUCAUAUUUAAAAGAUUUCAACAAAAAAAAUUAAUAAUCAGUAUAAAACUAAAUUUAAACUAUAUAAAGGAAGGCCCCGUGAGUUCAAGAAUAACUCAAAGAAAUAUUCCAACUAAGCUAUAGAAAACACAUUAUUUGUGUCAUCACAAGCGAGCACAGUAUCAGUAUGACUAAGAAAAG
rnacentral:lncRNA from 1 species